GAUGAAGAACGUAGCAAAAUGCGAUAAGUAAUGUGAAUUGCAGAAUUCAGUGAAUCAUCGAAUCUUUGAACGCACAUUGCGCCCGCCAGUAUUCUGGCUGGCAUGCCUGUUCGAGCUUCAUUUCAACCCUCAAGCCCUCGGGUUUGGUGUUGGGGAUCGGCGAGCCUUUCUGGCAAGCCGGCCCCGAAAUCUAGUGGCGGUCUCGCUGCAGCCUCCAUUGCGUAGUAGUAAAACCCUCGCAACUGGAACGCGGCGCGGCCAAGCCGUUAAACCCCCAACUUCUGAAUGUUGACCUCGGAUCAGGUAGGAAUACCCGCUGAACUUAAGCAUAUCAAUAAGCGGAGGA
rnacentral:misc_RNA from 1 species